GUAACGGACACCUCGAGACUUGGUUUCCGGUGACACCCCUCGCAGUCAGGCUGUAACCAGACCACACUCUCAACCACGCCCUGAUGCGGGCCUCGGCCCCGCCCCGCGGGCUCUACCAUCAGGCCAGGUGGUAACAGCGAGGGACGCGCAGGUGACUGUGCCGGGGACCCUGCCUGUGGGGAAGGCAGGGGUGUCCAUCGAGGGGAAGAAUAGGGACAUCCACGUGUGGAAUCGCGUCCCGGGCUGCGUUCCCCUCCGUGUCUCGGUAUCUGGGUCCCGUCUCCGCCCUGUCCCCCCGCGCGCUUGGUUCGCGCCGAGGCCCUCAGAGCCGGUGGCUUUGCACAGGGCCCUAAGCGCAGACCUCGGUGCGUGGGACUGGUGUGGUGGGUUGCAUCACUUGCUGUGCGGGACUGUGAUCCGCUGCAAUCCGCUGCAGUUCGGAGCUAUGGCGCUCGCCGUUCGAGUUGUGUAUUGUGGAGCUUGAGGCUACAAGCCCAAGUAUCUCCAGCUCAAGGAGCAGCUAGAAGAUGAAUUCCCCGGAUGUCUGGACAUUGUGAGUCUUGGAACUGGGGCCAGAGAGUCAUGUGGGUCCCUUGUCUGUCCCUGGGUCCGGGUGGCAGUGGGAGUGGGUUAGGUGAUCCCCGCCUACCCUCCUGGGAAGGGCGAGGGUGUUCUG
rnacentral:lncRNA from 1 species